GUUCCGACUCGUGCAAACUAUCAUAUGAUAGGUCUGAGCCUGCUGCGGAACACACACUCACACUUGGAAGGACAAUUUAAGCAAGAGAUAUAUGUCACCUUUACUGUAAUGUGCGUGAAACAACACAGAUAUACCGAAAACCGGAGAUUCUAAUAACUGUUGAGCGGAUCAGAGUUUUUUGCUUUGACGUUUUUUUCAUCUCAGAUUUGUCCGGAGAAAAACACAAAGGUGUAUUUGCAAGUGAGUGUAGAGACGCAUAUAGUAAGAGUCGGAAUAAACAACCGUUUGAUAGCUUUUUUUGUUUGUUGUCUAGCUCUGUCCUUGAACAGUUUCCGCAUGACUGCGGGACAGUCGGUCCAGAGUGGCGGCUGAUCAAUUCAUCUCGUUAGCGGAGGCAGAGUUGUCGCGGUUGGCAUCAUUGUUGGAGUGGGGAGCACGGACUGUCAAUAGAAACCGGCAGACUUUUAUUUGAUUUACUUUGACUUUAUUAUAACUGUUUACAUAUAAAUACCACUUUUAAAGAAAUUGGUUUACAUUCAAAGCCCAAGAAGUUGACUUUACUUUAGUGAACACUGUUUGCCAUGGUGGGUGAGACGGAGUUAAGGGACCGACCCAAGGCCAGCCCGGACUACCUCAUGCAGCUCAUGAACGACAGGAAGGUGAUGAGCUCGCUGCCCAACUUCACUGGUAUCUUCACACAUCUGGAGCGCCUACUGGAUGAAGAGAUCGGAAGAGUGCGCAAGGACAUGUACAAUGACACCAUGAAUGGGGGUGUCAGUGAGGGGCGGGACUCUGAAGAGCUGCCUGAUGCUAUUGGUCCAGUUGCUCAGCUGCAAGAGAAACUCUAUGUGCCUGUCAAGGAGUACCCUGAUUUUAACUUUGUGGGGAGAAUCCUGGGUCCAAGGGGACUGACAGCCAAACAGCUGGAGGCAGAGACAGGCUGCAAGAUUAUGGUGCGAGGAAAAGGCUCCAUGAGGGACAAGAAGAAGGAGGAAUUGAACAGAGGAAAGCCCAACUGGGAGCAUCUAAGUGAAGACCUUCAUGUGUUAAUUACUGUUGAGGACACCCACAACCGAGCCCAGAUCAAACUGCAGCGAGCCACAGCGGAGGUCAACAAACUGCUCAUCCCUGCUGCUGAGGGAGAGGACAGUCUGAAAAAAAUGCAGUUGAUGGAGCUGGCCAUUCUCAAUGGAACCUACAGAGAUGCUAACAUCAAGACUGCUACUAUGGGCUUCUCUCUAGCCUCCCAUCAGGCCCCUCGCAUCAUCACUGGCCCAUCCCCCAUGCUGCCUUCCACUCUGAGAAACCACACCCCCCUCAGCACGCCCACCAUCAUGCCACAUCUGAUUCGUCAGAUCCAGAGCUCAGCUUUAAUGCAGGGAGCCAAUCCCCACGCAGCACUGAUGCAGCAAGCUCAAGAAUCAGGAAUUAUAUACGCACCCUAUGAGUACCCCUACACACUCACCCCGUCAAUACUGGAAUACCCCAUUGACUCUACUGGAGUACUAGGUAUGGCUUACCCAACCAAGGGCUAAGAUGCUACACACCUCCUGCACGAGAUGGCUUUCAGAUACACCCCCCUAAAUAAACCAUCACAAAGUCAUUUUAGGGUUCAUAUUUAAAAUGAUCUCAUUCUGGAAAAAAUAAGUUGGAAUAUAAAAUGCAUGUGCAUUAUUCCGUCUCAUAAAUGUGCAUCUACUUUUAAGGUUACUGUUAAUUUUCUUAGAAAGGUAGCUUGAAAAUACCAGAUUUUGACACGAGAGGUUUACUAUGUGUAUGUCACCAUUUUUACUAACUUUUUGUGUUUUGUUUUGGUCAUUGUAAUUGCACUAUGAGCAGGUGCGAUGACUGCUAAGGUACGACGCCACGACAUGAGACUCCAUCCUUACCAAAGGGUAGUGACCCCAGACAGAGCUGCCACAGCAACUAAUCCAUGACCUCUGACCUUCUGACCUUUCCGCCCACUGAUGACCCAUCCACCUCACUUGGCUCUCGGCUGCACCCGUGCCCCAGCCCAAUCCACCAGAGACCAUCACUGCGUGAACAACCUCUGUCUCUGCCUAACCAGCCAACCAGGGGACAUGAUAGGAAUCCCUUCAGAGGACUCACCCAUGGCCAAACCUCCUAACCAGGUGUCCCCGCCCACCCCAAGGCCAAAGUACUUCUACUUAGUUAGUAUCCCCUAACUCCUGCCAUGGUAUGAGUCCAAGUGAUGCAUUUAUAAAGAUAAUAAUGAAUCAAACACUGAGAGGAAACUAUCCACGCACACGCUUAGGAACAACACCCCAGUCCUCUCACAGUGCAGUAAAUGAGGAGACAUGUUCUUUCGUCAUCAUGUUGCCUUUGUAUCACCAUAGCGUUUUAUAAAUCUGAUGAACAAAAAUGCCUUUAAUUAGACAAUAUGAGAAAGAUGUUACAAAUCAGGACAACAUUCCUGGCAUUGUAUUCCUAAUCAAGUAUUCCUAAUACUUGAUUGAAGUGUCUCAAUCAAGUAUUUAAGAUAAAUCAGGCCUAGCUUGUCUAAAGAGUAUUCCCAUUAUCCUGUGUGUCAUAUAUAAAUAUUAUUUAUAAAAGCAUCUUGGAGCACAAUUGUACUGAACCUGUAUGGCCCUAACUAUGCAUUGCUAUUGGUAGGUUCCUUUUUGGCUACCAUGUCGGUGGUAGUCUUCUACCAAUACGACAGGGCCAUCAUAUCAGUGUUAAAAUUUGUGUUUGUUACUUUGUUACUUUUGUUUUUUUGGAAGAGUGGAAGGUAGAUUUGUGUUUACUUGUGAGUGUGCAUUGGCUUUCACGUGAACUGUGUCUGUUUCAUUUUUCCUCGGAUCAAUUUGUAUUCCACUCAGUGCCUUGUCCUUCAACCAGUGCCUUCAAGAGAAUACAAUAAUAUAUUCAUUUUUAACAUCUGUAACAAGGUUAUAAUAUAUUUUUCUAUUAUAUUUUGUAAGUGAAAAAUAACAUUAAAUGACAAUGUCAGAUAAGAACAGUA